GAAAGAGCGAAGUUAUGAGCACCAUGGUCGGUUCGUGGCGGGGAUAAAACUCAAUCACUCGGAGGAAAAACUGUCCUGGAACAGUCGAGGAGUUCCUUGGAGCUGCGAGAAGAAGCCCCCUUAUGAACAGUGAAAGGUCUGUGGAUAGAGGGGGAGAGGGAAGGCAUUAAGUUUGGAGCUCUCUAACCUGAUGCCACACAGGUGCUGAUGAGAAUGAUGAACACGCGCAGCACUCCAGAGCGUCCGAAUCCUCGAUCUGUCACCGCUGCUGCUGCUGCUGCUGCCUCCAUGAUAUUUAUAUGUCCGAGAGAGAGCUGUGGAAACUCU
rnacentral:lncRNA from 1 species